AUUUAUAUAGUUUAAAUAAAAUUUUAUAUUUUCAUUAUAAAGAUAAAAAUUUUUUUUUUAUAAAUU
rnacentral:tRNA from 1 species